rnacentral:piRNA from 1 species
UGUGAGGGAAUCCACUGAAGUUGUGCU